GUAAUAUUCAGAGACUAUUGAGGUUAAAGCGAUUCAGAAAGGCCACGUCCACUGUGCCCAGUGUGUUGAGGGGACAGUAAUAUUCAGUGACUAUUGAGGUUAAAGUGAUUCAGAAAGGCGACGUCCACUGUGUCCAGUGUGUUGAGGGGACAGUAAUAUUCAGUGACUAUUGAGGUUAAAGUGAUUCAGAAAGGCCACGUCCACUGUGUCCAGUGUGUUGAGGGGACAGUAAUAUUCAGUGAC